UACGGGGGGGAGCUAGCGUUGUUCGGAAUUACUGGGCGUAAAGCGCACGUAGGCGGCUUUGUAAGUUAGAGGUGAAAGCCCGGGGCUCAACCCGGAAUUGCCUUUAAGACUGCAUCGCUUGAAUCCAGGAGAGGUGAGUGGAAUUCCGAGUGUAGAGGUGAAAUUCGUAGAUAUUCGGAAGAACACCAGUGGCGAAGGCGGCUCACUGGAGCUGGUAUUGACGCGUGAGGUG
rnacentral:rRNA from 1 species